CCAAUUUAUUCGUGUAAUUAAAUGCUAGGAUACCAGCUCUUUCAGACCAAUGCAAAGUCUGAUUAGUUCUGAUGAAUAUACCAUGACAAAAUGAAAUCAUCUUUGAUCUUUACCGAGCAAGCCAUCCGAGUAAUAACUGAAAUCUAAUAAUUAGGUGAAGACAGAUGCCUUGCAAUUUCUUUAAGAAACACAGGCUUAAAAGUUUCAGAGAANAGUCAAUCACAUGAUGAGAUAUCACAGUAAACCUCAUCGACUUAUUGAUUAAGACAGUUGUGAUAUAGCUUUGGCUUACCUGUUCAUCCUCUUGGAAUUACCAUGCAGAGCUGUGCACACCUUCCAACUAAAGCGAUUAAAGUUCCGAUAGUAUUUGAAUCAAGAUUUUGCGUGGGUAGGGCAACGUAGGAUNCUCUAAUUACAAGACAAAUUUGACGAUCACACGUCUCUUUUAAUAUUAUUUUAAGGGACUGUGC
rnacentral:misc_RNA from 1 species